GAUGAAGAACGUAGCGAAAUGCGAUAAGUAAUGUGAAUUGCAGAAUUCAGUGAAUCAUCGAAUCUUUGAACGCACCUUGCGCCCUUUGGACAUUCCGAAGGACAUGCCUGUUUGAGUAUCAUGAACACCUCAACUCUCACGGCUUGUCCGUGAUGAGCUUGGACUUUGGGGGUCUUGCCGGCCUGUGGUCGGCUCCUCUCAAAUGGAUCAGCUUGCCAGUGUUUGGUGGCAUCACAGGUGUGAUAACUAUCUGCGCUUGUGGUUUUCCAUCAGAUAACCUUCAGUGAUAUGGAGGUUCGCUGGAGCUCACAAAUGUCUCUCCUUAGUGAGGACAGCUCUUUGAACGUUUGAUCUCAAAUCAGGUAGGACUACCCGCUGAACUUAAGCAUAUCAAUAAGCGGAGGA
rnacentral:misc_RNA from 1 species